rnacentral:rRNA from 1 species
AGCAGUCGCCACGGGAAUACGAAGGGGGCUAGCGUUGCUCGGAAUGACUGGGCGUAAAGGGCGCGUAGGCGGUUUGUACAGUUGGAUGUGAAAUUCCUGGGCUUAACCUGGGGGCUGCAUUCAAUACGUGCAGGCUUGAGUGUGGAAGAGGGUCGUGGAAUUCCCAGUGUAGAGGUGAAAUUCGUAGACAUUCGGAAGAACACCAGUGGCGAAGGCGGCUCACUGGCUCAUUCUAGACGCUGAGGUGCGAAAGCGUGGGGAGCAAACAGGAUUAGAUACCCCCGUAGUCCCUGUCUCUUAUAU